rnacentral:rRNA from 1 species
GUGAGGAAUAUUGCGCAAUGGAGGCAACUCUGACGCAGCCAUGCCGCGUGCAGGAAGAAGGCGCUACGCGUUGUAAACUACUUUUAACCGGGAAGAAACCCCAGGACGUGUCCUGGGUUGACGGUACCGGAGGAAUAAGCACCGGCUAACUUCGUGCCAGCAGCCGCGGUAAUACGAAGGGUGCAAGCGUUAUCCGGAUUCAUUGGGCUUAAAGGGUGCGUAGGCGGAGCGUUAAGUCAGUGGUGAAAUCCUGCAGCUUAACUGUAGACUUGCCGUGGAUACUGGCGCUCUUGAGUGCGGUUGAAGUGGGCGGAAUGUGCCGUGUAGCGGGGAAAUGCUUGGAUAUGGCACAGAACACCAAUUGCGAAGGCAGCUCACUAAGGCGAUACUGACGCUGAGGCACGAAAGCGUGGGGAUCGAACAGGAUUAGAUACCCGGGUAGUCC